rnacentral:lncRNA from 1 species
CUGUUCCCUCUGCUUGGUUCCACAGCAGGAAGGAAUGAGGGUCGGCUAGAAAGUGACCUGUCUGGAUCGCCAACCCCAGGCUGCCCACACGCGCACUCUGCCCCUGGGGAGGAAGGAGAAGCCUCCAGCAUAAGGCUGCCAGGUGGAGGGCCCAGCUGUGGGAGGGGUGCCCCAGGUCAUUUCCGGAGCAACCCCUGAGGAUUCAGCGUUAUCCUUGCUGGCAUCUGGUCUCCUCCCACAGGCAGCAUGAUCCCAGGCUAAGCCCCUCCUGGCAGGUGUCCCAGAAGGGGAAGACGAUGACCGUCUCUGAGCCACUUAGCCCAUCACGACAGCUCCAGGAGCGUUUGACGUCUGCAAAACAACGUCACCAGGUGUCAGCUUUUCCUCACGGUAGACCUAGUGCUAGUAAAUGUACUGUGACCAGUGUCAUGUGUUUAUGAGAAUGGGCAUAAUAAAUUAUCACGUCAAGUUCGCCCCUCGGCAGCCACAGGCUAGAACCGCUAACACUUCUGGUGACUCGUUUCCUCGGACUUCUACCAGGCUUCCUGUGCCGAGGCCACUGUGUGGGGCAAGGAGGAGGCAGCGAUGGGCCGG